AAAGCGAGAAAGCGUGCCUGCAAAGUAAACAUUUAGCUGUGGAAUCAUUGAAAUAUUGAUUAUUUCUAAGUAGUGUAAUUAUAAUACUUAUAUUUAUACUAUUGUGCUUAAAGGAAUUGCAGUUUAGAAGAUUCUUACCCUAUAAUAUGUAACCUACAACCUAUAUAGUGAACAAAAUCUGAACUUAUGUGUACGGAUACAUAGUACGGGAACUGUAGUACGGAAACAUAGCGCAAAUCUUGCGAUUCUAUCUUGCUUAACAUUAGACCGGUUCAACAAGUCAUAUCGCUACAAAUUGGGACUAAAC